rnacentral:rRNA from 1 species
AAGCAUCUAAGCGGGAAGCGAGCCCUGAGAUGAGUUUUCCCUGGCGCUUUAAGCGUCCUAAAGGGUUGUUCAAGACUAGAACGUUGAUAGGCAGGGUGUGUAAGCGCUGUGAGGCGUUGAGCUAACCUGUACUAAUUGCCCGUGAGGCUUAACCAUACAACACCCAAGGGGUUU